UACGUAGGGUGCAAGCGUUGUCCGGAUUCAUUGGGCGUAAAGGGUGCGUAGGCGGCGCGGUAAGUCGGGUGUGAAAUCUCGGAGCUUAACUCCGAAACUGCAUUCGAUACUGCCGUGCUUGAGGACUGGAGAGGAGACUGGAAUUUACGGUGUAGCGGUGAAAUGCGUAGAUAUCGUAAGGAAGACCAGUGGCGAAGGCGGGUCUCUGGACAGUUCCUGACGCUGAGGCACGAAGGCCAGGGGAGCGAAACGGG
rnacentral:rRNA from 1 species